CUCCAGUUUUAACUCUGCUCCAGUCGGACUAAACUACUCACUGCUCUCCACAUGUAUUUGGCACCUGUGGUCACCCCACCUCCCCCUUUAGAAUGUUUCCCUGCUCUCCUCUCAUUCUGCAAAGCACAACUCAAGGCUGCCGUGACCUCAUUCCUUCCAAGGUACCUUUCCACAAAUAUAACAGAAAAUUAUAGCACCCUUCAAACUCUGCAACUUGUUUUAUUUAAGAACUCAAUGCCAUGUCAAGAUGAAUAACAGAAGUGCCAAAAGUCAUUGUGGAUUUGCCAGCAAAUAUAUUUGUUGAUGGACUGGAUAAACGCUAAUUAUAGGGCAGUGAAUGAUCACAUAAUAAGAUAUAUCACAUGCAGGAUCACUGUUAAAUAAACUGAAGGGAUCAAAAGAGAAAGCAAGAGGACCAGCUGG